CCCCAGUGGGACAAGAAAACUCAGACCACAAUCCUUCCCUACCUGAGCGCUUCUUCCUCCAGAUCACAACUCCAGCCACCACAGCUCCAAGGAGAACCAGGCCAGCAAUGAUGC